UGAGGUACGGAACAGCUUGUGAUGUCAUAAAACAUUUCUGAAUAUUAUCACUCUUUCCAGUGAAAGAUCAUUUUAAAUGUAGUAAGAACAAGUAGGGAAGGAAUCUGAACACUGUAAAACUUAAUGUGAAAAUGAUACAGACAUCCAAAGGGUAUUGACAUUAGAAGCAAGGCAGCUGAAGGAAGAGAACAGAUUAGGAUUGCAUUGAGAGCAAAUCAAAGAUAAGAUAAGGACAAAAGAAAAGAAGGGUAAAAAGUGAUGAUAACUGUGAAAAGAUACUGUGAAAAAACACUGUCACCUGUGAUUAAACUAACUUACUUUAGUCAUACCAUUAAAACUACGUCCACAUAUUUAUUAGCUAAUUGAGACAAUGCAAGCUCAAUUCCAAUGCAAAGAUCUAUUUAAUCUCAUUUGCUGUGCAAAUAUUUAUAUUUUAUGGAGAUGUCUGACAUUUUAAAAUAAUGGAUUUUCAAUGACGUUGUAAAUAUUAUAAUAUAUAAAAUUGAAAAAUGGACAAAUUACAACUGUAAAUUGCAGUGAAAUAAGCCCACCAUAAUGAGCGAACAGGAUUUAUUAAACACUUAUACAGGUUCCAUUGAUUCAAUGGUCUACUUUAGUGGAUACUAGCAAUUGGAUUUGGCCCAACAUCUGAAUGAGAUAACAAUAUUGUCAGCACAAAGCAUUCUUAUCAAACUAACAAAUUAGAAAAAAAAUCAAUUAUCUGACCUUAUGGAUAGAUAUUUUUAAAUUAUAAAACUUUAAUUAGCUUUUCUUUCUCCUUCCAUCAUACUUUGUAAUAAUAACAUUGGUAUUGUUAUGGUUGAGCCUUAUGGCUCCGAUACUGGGAGACGUGGUCGUAAGACUCCUCGGGAGUCAGACUCUCUUGAGGAGCGAGAAAGGAAAUGGCUGCGGGACUUAUUUGCAGAACCAACUGACGAAGACUCCUUUGAGGGUUUUACCGAGGGAAUGGAGGAAGAGAUGGUUAGCUCAGAGGAGGAUGAUAUGGAAUGGACUCGUGUGAGGGAGGAUUUGGGUGCCACCGGCAAUGAUAGUAUGGGAGGCGACUGGGGGGUUGCAGGAUUAGACCCGUGGAUGAGCUGGAGGGAUGGGACAGGAUCCACAGCUGGGGAUGCUGUGGGGCGUAGUCAAAGGUGUUUUAGUUCUGAUGAGGAGGAUGAUGAUGAGGCACCUGGAAUUAGGGUAACAGCUGACAGCGAUGAGGAGUUGUAAACUGGCAUAAAAUGGGGUUUAGAAUCCAGGGCUAAUUGCGUUGGGCAAGGUAAUCUGGACGAACGCUUGGGCUCUUGUUGGGAAUUUCCUGAAGACGGGUGUGAUUCGUUUGCUGAAUACCUUGGACCUCCGUCGUCUUUUUGACGGACAUUAAUUGCCUACUCUGGAUUGACGCUGGACUGGCUGACUGACUUCGACCUUGGACUAUCCCUUCUGUGAUUAUCGGUGGAACUGGUGAACUAAAGACGUCUGUACCUGGCCUUCGACCUUGGACCGGAUUGGGACCCCGCUGACUGCUUCUGCCCUGAUUGAUGUGUUUGGACCCGGAGUUCGCUUGCUGCACGGAGGAGUAACAACUUAGUUAAUCAACCACAGCUGUUGAGUAGCAGAGAGUAAUCUGCUGCCAGUUAUUUAUGUUUCAUUGAAUCUUAGUUUACCAGUUUUUGUUUGUUUUAAGAGCCAGGCUGAAGUAAGCAUUUUUGGUUUAACCCGGAUUAAACUCCCGUUUAAUCCGGUUUAUCUUUUGAACUGUUUUUUAGUGUCUUUUCAUAUUGAAGGCGAGUUUUUGCCUAGCCCUUUGUCUUUUACGGGCAUUUUUGGUUCUGUAUCUUUAAUAAACUGUGUUGAAUCUUA